rnacentral:lncRNA from 1 species
UUUCAGCUAGCCGUCUACAGCUUUGCUGUAAAAUGCCAACGAGUGUGUUAAUCUGGACACUGUUCAAUUCCGCCGUCUUGUCAAAUUCCGUACUGGUGUCACGCAAAGGCGUUGUGCCAACUAGCCUUCUUCAUCUGGAAGGCUUUAUUUUCUGAGAAACCGGUACGAAUUGGUUGUGUAACUUUGUGCUUCAAACGGCUGAACGUCUCGAGGCUCAAUGAUGUAACAGUUCUCUUCGGAUAUGAGGAUGAGAAAAAGGUCAAGAAACACUUCGAGAAAAAAAGUGGAUUCAGCGGCAAUGCGGCUGAUGAAAACGGAGUAGUCACUUAACAC